rnacentral:rRNA from 1 species
GGUGCUGCAUGGCUGUCGUCAGCUCGUGUCGUGAGAUGUUGGGUUAAGUCCCGUAACGAGCGCAACCCUUAUCCUUAGUUGCCAGCGAUUAAUGUGGGGAACUCUAGGGAAACUGCCGGUGAUAAACCGGAGGAAGGGGGGGACGACGUCAAGUCAUCAUGGCCUUUAUGGGUAGGGCUACACACGUGCUACAAGGGUCGGUACAAAGGGUUGCAAACCCGCGAGAGGAAGCAAAUCCCAAAAAGCCGAUCUUAUUCCGGAUUGCAGUCUGCAACUCGACUGCAUGAAGUCGAAAUCGCUAUUAAUCGCGAAUCAAAAUGCCGCGGUGAAUACUUUCCCGGGCCUUG